GACGAACGCUGGCGGCGUGCUUAACACAUGCAAGUCGAACGGAAAGGCCCUGCUUUUGUGGGGUGCUCGAGUGGCGAACAGGUGAGUAACACGUGAGUAACCUGCCCUUGAAUUUGGGAUAACUUCAGGAGACUGGGGCUAAUAUCCGGUAGGAUAUCCUGCUGCGUGUUGGGGGUUGGAAAGUGUCGGCUGUUGGGGAUGGAAUCGAUGGUUAUGCGCUUGAUGGUGGGGUAGGUGCUUACCAAGCCUUUGAAGGGUAGCCGGCCUGAGAGCGUGACCGGCCACAUUGGGACUGAGAUAGGGCCCAGUCUCGUACGGGAGGCAGUAGUGGGGAAUAUUGCACAAUGGGCGGAAGUCUGAUGCAGCAACGCCGCGUGCGUGAUGACGGCCUUCGGGUUGUAAACAGCUUUCGACUGUGACGAAGCGUGAGUGACGGUAAUUGGUAAAGAAGCACCGGCUAACUACGUG
rnacentral:rRNA from 1 species